CUGCGCUGCGCACCUGCGGGGCGCCGAGCGGGGCGGGUGAGGAGGAGGAGGAGGAAGAGGAGGAGGAGGAGGCGGCCGGAGGUGCGGAGCCAGCCGGCGGCCGCGCAGCCCGCCCCCGGCUUGGCCAGCCGGCGCGGCCCCGAGGAGAUGGAGCAGGAGAAGUACCUGCCCGAGCUGAUGGCAGAGAAGGACAGCCUGGAUCCCUCCUUUGUUCACGCCAUGCGCCUGCUGGCCGACGAAAUCGAAAAAUUUCAGGGUUCUGAAGGCAAGAAGGAAGAUGAAGAAAAGAAAUAUCUUGAUGUUAUCAGCAACAAAAACAUAAAGCUGUCAGAAAGAGUUCUGAUACCUGUCAAACAAUAUCCAAAGUUCAAUUUUGUUGGGAAAUUGCUUGGACCAAGAGGAAACUCCUUGAAGCGGUUACAAGAAGAAACAGGUGCAAAAAUGUCUAUCUUGGGGAAAGGCUCCAUGAGGGAUAAAGCAAAGGAGGAAGAACUGAGAAAAAGUGGAGAAGCCAAAUAUGCACACUUGAGUGAUGAGCUUCAUGUAUUAAUUGAAGUGUUUGCUCCACCUGGGGAAGCAUAUUCUCGUAUGAGUCAUGCCUUGGAAGAAAUAAAAAAAUUCCUCGUUCCAGAUUAUAAUGAUGAAAUUCGUCAGGAGCAGCUGAGAGAGCUAUCAUAUUUGAAUGGUUCUGAGGAUUCAGCACGUGGACGGGGUAUUCGAGGAAGAGGGAUCCGUGUGCCACCUGCAGCUCCUUCAAGGGGCCGUGGAGGUGCGAUUCCUCCACCCCCACCUGGACGAGGUGCCCAAGCCCCCAGAGGAACACCAGUGACACGUGGAGCACUUCCCGUCCCACCAGUAGCGAGGGGUGUUCCUACCCCUCGAGCAAGGGGUGCCCCAGCAGUCCCAGGCUACAGACCACCCCCGCCACCUGCACAUGAGGCAUAUGAAGAAUAUGGAUAUGAUGAUGGAUAUGGGGGUGAAUAUGAUGAUCCAAGCUAUGAGGCAUAUGAUAACAGUUAUGCCACCCAAACACAAAGACAGAGGGUUCUGUCCUCCAUGACAGCAGUCUGAUUUCAGACUGAUAACAGGGGGAUGGGGUCACUUGUAGAAGAAACCAUGACAGAACCUUGGGAUCAGACUAGAAUGAAGCCUACAGUAAUCUUCAAGGCUGAAUGAGCUAAGAGACAUCUCAAGAGCACUGAAAUGGAUACAAAAGCAACUUGAAGAAGGACAACCUGAUCAUUGCUAUGCAGGUACUUAUAAGUCUGUUGAGCCACCACCGUUGUCCAGGAUUCAUAGGAUGAGAACACUAGAUCACCAGGCGAAGAGGAUGAAAUCUUUUGUGAGAGGAUCUAAAAGAACUGCCUGUUUCUUUACAGUCUGAUAGAGGAUCAGACUGUACUGCAUGCAAAGCAUGGCCAAACACCUCAGCCAAGACCAAGAAAGUGAUUUUGCAGAAGUAGAUCAGUUGCUGGUGAAUCAGCUGAGAACCCUGAUGGCUAGCAGAGCCACAUUCAGCUCUGCUACUACAUCUGUAGUCAUCUCCACUGACCUUUGUGUCUCUACUAGCACCAUCAGUUUAAUUUCAAAGGUACCAUGUCUCACAGCAAAAAAGAGAUAUUAAGGAAUUCUGUGACUGACGGACCAAUCAGGGGACAAAACAGAAAGGGUAUAUUCUAUUUAAACCACUUGCGCAUAACCUAACCAACCACAUGCAGUGUAAACAAUGGUGCCUGUAAGGGAAACAAAAAAAGAAGUCAAUGAUGCUUAAAUUUUGGGUUUGAUAUAAUUUCCCUGUUCCACAGCAUCUGGCAUGAACACUCAAACACUGAGUCCUUUUUUUUUUUUUUUUUUGUGACCGGGUAGCUGGUACAUUGGCAAAGGCUUCCUGGGCUGCUUUCCUCUUUUUUGUUCUGUCUGUCUGAGCAGGUGUUUAUUAAAGAAAGAAAAGUCUGUGACUCCCAUCCUAAGCUUUAAAUAGGCCUGAAAAAAAAAAUCACAAAACCUGUAAUGUACUAAAAAGAAUAAAUAAUUUAGUGACGAAAGAUAGAGGAAAAUAGUGCAAACCAUUGCUGAGUUACAGAUCCCACCCCAUAGUUGCACAGGCCACCUCAUGACAUCUUAUCUAUGUUGUAUGCUGCACCAUUACAUAGAUAAAGAUCAUUCCUCUUGCCAGCCUGGACCCAGCCCCACUAAUGGUAACAUCCCAGUUUUAGGACCUUGAAGCAGUUUUUGGCAAAAUAUUUACUGUUAAUCUUGCAAAUUUGUUAUGUAAUACUAUAGGCAACGGUCCUCUAGACAUGUGUUCCAUGCUGGCAUACAGAUCAUUUUGGGACAGCGAUUUGGUUUUAGUUUGUCAGAUGCACACUGCAAACCCAGACGCUAAGCCAAUAACCAAACUUCUGUUUCUGAUGCUGUUUAAGAUGCUAAUGGUAAUACAGAAUCUAAUCUUAGCAUAAAAUGUCAUUAAUGUGUCUGAAAUACAUUCUAAGCUUUUACAUGAUCUGAAGACUUAUACAUAGUGUUGAUAAAAGCUGAUACAUAUCUAUCUUAGAGGACUGAAGAAGAAGAAAGGAAA